UACGUAGGGGGCUAGCGUUGCUCGGAAUCACUGGGCGUAAAGCGCGCGUAGGCGGCUUUUUAAGUCAGGGGUGAAAUCCUGGAGCUCAACUCCAGAACUGCCUUUGAUACUGAGAAGCUUGAGUCCGGGAGAGGUGAGUGGAACUGCGAGUGUAGAGGUGAAAUUCGUAGAUAUUCGCAAGAACACCAGUGGCGAAGGCGGCUCACUGGGCCGGUACUGACGCUGAGGUGCGAAAGCGUGGGGAGCAAACAGG
rnacentral:rRNA from 1 species